GGGGGACAGAUACUAAAGUACCACGGCAUGGAGUGACCAAUGGAAGCACUUUAUCACUUUUCCUUGUGUUUUGUCUCUGUGCUUUCCAAAACUUGUCCUUGUCAGUGGCAUGACAAUGGGCUGUGCCGGAAAUCCCAGUGCCCCAGUAGACACAUGGAGCAAUUGUGUCACAAACAUAACAAUGGCACUGAUCACAGUGCUGUUC
rnacentral:misc_RNA from 1 species